AACGGACGCUGGCGGCAGGCCUAACACAUGCAAGUCGAGCGAAGCCUUCGGGCUUAGCGGCGGACGGGUGAGUAACGCGUGGGAACGUGCCCUUUGCUACGGAAUAGCCCCGGGAAACUGGGAGUAAUACCGUAUGUGCCCUUCGGGGGAAAGAUUUAUCGCCAAAGGAUCGGCCCGCGUUGGAUUAGGUAGUUGGUGGGGUAAUGGCCUACCAAGCCGACGAUCCAUAGCUGGUUUGAGAGGAUGAUCAGCCACACUGGGACUGAGACACGGCCCAGACUCCUACGGGAGGCAGCAGUGGGGAAUCUUAGACAAUGGGGGAAACCCUGAUCUAGCCAUGCCGCGUGAUCGAUGAAGGCCUUAGGGUUGUAAAGAUCUUUCAGUGGGGAAGAUAAUGACUGUACCCACAGAAGAAGCCCCGGCUAACUCCGUGCCAGCCGCCGCCGUAAUAC
rnacentral:rRNA from 1 species